rnacentral:rRNA from 1 species
AUUGAACGCUGGCGGCAUGCCUUACACAUGCAAGUCGAACGGCAGCACGGGGGCAACCCUGGUGGCGAGUGGCGAACGGGUGAGUAAUGCAUCGGAACGUGCCCAGUAGUGGGGGAUAGCCCGGCGAAAGCCGGAUUAAUACCGCAUACGUACUGAGGUAGAAAGCGGGGGACCGAAAGGCCUCGCGCUAUUGGAGCGGCCGAUGUCGGAUUAGCUUGUUGGUGGGGUAAUGGCCUACCAAGGCGACGAUCCGUAACUGGUCUGAGAGGACGACCAGUCACACUGGGACUGAGACACGGCCCAGACUCCUACGGGAGGCAGCAGUGGGGGAAUUUUGGUACAAUAGGGCGGCAAGACCUCGA